UUUCCACAGCCCCUUCCAUCCACAGAUCCGUGCUGCGUGCCCUCUGGGAAGGGUGAAGUAAAACCCUCAGUCUGAGCCUGAGAAAUCCUGGCAUUUGUAGCCCAGGGCUGCGAGGAAGCCACAGGGCGGUCCGCAGGGCGGUAUCGAGGCUCUGGGACCCAAGGAGGGGCAGGACGUCGUGCACCCCUCGCGCACGCACCUGUCGGGACCGGCCGCCUCCUCCUGCCUACCUGUCCUGCCUCCUUCGCCCCGAAUUUCACCUUAAACCAUGAUGAACCAAGCCCAGUGGAUUCUGAAGCCCGGGACGAUGGCAGCCAGACCAGCCUCAGGUGUCUCCCAGGAAAGACUGCCCCUCAGGCCCUGGGACGGUUCCCAAGCCUGCCAGAAAUGAGGUGGAGGCCAACACUGACCUUUGGAUGGCUGAGUUUUGGAUGACUGACAGCCCCAGAUCCUGCUCCAGGUUCCUUCCUCAGGAA
rnacentral:lncRNA from 1 species